rnacentral:rRNA from 1 species
CCUACGGGAGGCUGCAGUGAGGAAUAUUGGUCAAUGGACGCGAGUCUGAACCAGCCAAGUAGCGUGAAGGAUGACUGCCCUAUGGGUUGUAAACUUCUUUUAUAUGGGAAUAAAAUGUUCCACGUGUGGGAUUUUGUAUGUACUAUAUGAAUAAGGAUCGGCUAACUCCGUGCCAGCAGCCGCGGUAAUACGGAGGAUCCGAGCGUUAUCCGGAUUUAUUGGGUUUAAAGGGAGCGUAGGUGGAUUGUUAAGUCAGUUGUGAAAGUUUGCGGCUCAACCGUAAAAUUGCAGUUGAAACUGGCAGUCUUGAGUACAGUAGAGGUAGGCGGAAUUCGUGGUGUAGCGGUGAAAUGCUUAGAUAUCACGAAGAACUCCGAUUGCGAAGGCAGUUCACUGAACUGCAACUGACACUGAGGCUCGAAAGUGUGGGUAUCAAACAGGAUUAGAUACCCUUGUAGUC